AGAAAGUGGAGCAAUCCAUGAGUAAAGUGGCGACCGGGUGAGUAACACGUGACUAACCUACCUCCGAGUGGGGAAUAACUCCGGGAUACCGGGGCUAAUACCGCAUAACAUCGCAAGAUCAAAGCAGCAAUGCGCUUGGAGAGGGGGUCGCGGCUGAUUAGCUAGUUGGCGGGGUAACGGCCCACCAAGGCGAAGAUCGGUAUCCGGCCUGAGAGGGCGCACGGACACACUGGAACUGAAACACGGUCCAGACUCCUACGGGAGGCAGCAGUGGGGAAUUUUGCGCAAUGGGGGAAACCCUGACGCAGCAACGCCGCGUGGAGGAUGAAGCCCUUUGGGGCGUAAACUCCUUUCGACCAAGACGAUAAUGACGGUACUGGUGGAAGAAGCACCGGCUAACUCUGUGCCAGCAGCCGCGGUAAUACAGAGGGUGCGAGCGUUGUUCGGAAUUAUUGGGCGUAAAG
rnacentral:rRNA from 1 species